rnacentral:pre_miRNA from 1 species
CUCAAAUGUAGUUUUGUAUUGGUCAUAUCUAACGUUUGAUUAUUCGUUAAAUUUUUUAUGAUUAGUAUUUUUUAUUGUUAUUAGAUGAUAAAACAUGAAUGUACUUUAUGUGGGACUAUUUUUUUUAAAAAAUAUAUUUUUUUAAAUAAGACGGAUGAUCAAAUAUUGGAGUCAGAUAUUCACGGAUACGUUUAUU